rfam:Oryza sativa Japonica Group DNA, chromosome 7, cultivar: Nipponbare, complete sequence.
CGUACUCGGGAUUUUGAGUUUGUGCUUACAACGUUUGACCACUCGUCUUAUUUAAAUUUUUUUAAAAUUAUUAUUUAUUUUAUUUAUGAUUUACUUUAUUAUCUACAGUAUUUUAAGCAUAACUUUUCGUUUUAUAUAUUUGCAAAAAGAAUUUGAAUAAGACGAGUGGUCAAACGUUUCAAGCGAAAACUCAAAAUCUCUUGUACU